GGCCUAUUAGCUCAGUUGGUUAGGCCGUCGUGCUAAUAACGCGAAGGUCGCAGGUUCGAGACCUGCAUAGGCCA
rnacentral:tRNA from 1 species